UGGAUCCUCAGUACAUGCGAGUGAAGCGGGAAAAGCUCAGACUGAAAAUCUUCGCACUGCGGCGCCGAAUUGUAGUCUGAUAAGUAUGGUCAGCCGAUUGAUGGGUAAAGUCUCUGGAAAGGAGCGCAUGAGAAGGUGAUAGCCCCGUUCAUACCUGGAUUGUUAGAAGCUUACGACCUGCUUUCUACGAGUCGAGUUGUUUGGGACUGCAGCUCUAAAUGGGUGGUAAAUUCCAUCUAAAGCUAAAUAUUGGUGGGAGACCGAUAGCGAACAAGUACCGUGAGGGAAAGAUGCAAAGAACUUUGAAAAGAGAGUUAAAUAGUACCUGAAAUUGCUGAAAUGGAACCGAUGGGAGGCAGUGUCAUCCUUGGUAUUUUUCAUGGCUCUGUUUCAAGUAGGGCGUUCUGCAGUUUUUUAGCGCGGGAAAGGCUGAUGAACUAGUUUAGGUCAAGCCUUUUGUUAUAGCCUUUGUCCGUCGUGCUGGCCUAGGAAGGAGACUGUCACGUUUGUGCUCGUGAUGCGUACGAAAUGGUCCUAAGCCGCCCGUCUUGAAACACGGACCAAGGAGUCUAACAUAUGUGCGAGUGCUCGGGUGUAAAACCCCCACGCGAAAUAAACGUAAAGGUGAAAUUUAUUCACUUGGGCGCACUAUCGACCGACCCUGAUCCUCCGGGAGGACGGUUUGAGUGUGAGCAUACAUGUUGGGACCCGAAAGAUGGUGAACUAUGCCUGAGUAGGGCGA
rnacentral:rRNA from 1 species